rnacentral:rRNA from 1 species
GACGAACGCUGGCGGCGUGCCUAAUACAUGCAAGUCGAACGCAGUGGCGGACGGGUGAGUAACACGGGGGUGACCUGCCCUGCACUUCGGGAUAAGCAUGGGAAACUGGGUCUAAUACCGGAUAGUGUUGGAUGGGCCCGCGGCCUUUCAGAUAGAUGGUGGGGGAAUGGCCUACCAAGUCGGCGACGGGAAGCCGGCCUGGGAGGGUGGACGGCCACAGUGGAACUGGGACACGGCCCAAACUCCUACGGGAGGAAGUAGUGGGGAAUAUUCCACAAUGGGCGGAAGCCGGAUGCAGCGACGCCGCGUGUGGGAUGACGGCCUUCGGGUUGUAACCUCCUUUCGCCAGCAACGCGGUAGAUGGAGAAUAAGCACCGGCUAACUACGUGCCAGCAGCCGCGGUAAUAC